GGCUGGCCUUGUGACAACUUUAAGUACAAGGACAAUUGUCUUUGGUGCAACUAAUCCUAAAGGACAAUAUGAUCCGAAUCAAUCUUUAUCUGUCAAUACAACAUUAUCAGGACCGUUGUUGAGCAGAUUCGACAUUGUCCUUGUACUCUUGGAUACAAAGAACCCUGAAUGGGAUGCCAUUGUUUCAUCUCAUAUUCUAGCUGAGAAAGGAGAACCAAGGAGAGGUAAUAGUGAUGAGGACUUAGGGGAGGUCUGGUCACUUCCUAUGCUCAGAAGGUAUAUCUACUAUGUUAAACAACGUUUUCAAACCGGUCCUGACCGAGGAAUCAGAACAAGUUAUUUCACGUUAUUAUCAACUCCAACGAAGAUCAGGGACACAAAAUGCUGCCAGAAUUACUGUUCGCAUGCUUGAGAGUUUGAUCCGUUUAGCCCAAGCCCAUGCAAGACUAAUGUUCCGAGAUGAGGUCACCAGGCUUGAUGCAAUUGCUGCAAUCUUAUGCAUCGAAUCGUCAAUGACAACAUCUGCCAUUGUGGACACUGUUGGGAAUGCUUUACAUUCCAACUUCACAGACAAUCCAGAUCAGGAGUAUGCCAGGCAAGAACAAUUAAUCCUUGAGAAGCUCAGAUCAAUCAAUGAAUGAGUUCUCGUAACGUGGAAGGAUGUGGUGCAUGCAAGUCAAGGCUGAAGACAUGUAGAUUUCUUGAUAGAGAUUGUUGGACGGAGAUCGAAUAGCGCUGCAUUGUGUUGUCCCCCCAACACAGCAGAUUAUGCAGUGUGUGCCACGUGGUUUGUUGUGGACCUGAGGAUGUGAAUGUCACUAUCUUGUGUGGAAGAAAGGAAAGGUAACUGCUUGUGAUGGGUGUACAACACCAGCCCAGCCUAAUAAAACAGCCUGCAAGUGGUUUCUUCUCUGCAAGGUAAGAACUGCUAACUCUAUUAAACAUACUCAAUCUUGUGUUGUCUCUGUGUAUAGUGCAUGCUGGCAAGUGCCUUUUUGUCUAUGCUAGGUGAGAAUGAUAGUGAUAACCUCAUCUAAUGAUCUAUCACUCUGAAUAUUUUCAAGGGAAAGAGGAAAAAUGGUUGAAAAUUCAUGAAAAAGAGAUUUUAUCAUAAUAUUCCUUUUUCUUAAUUUGUAUAUAAUUCUCUAAAAUCUGACUUUAGUUAUGGUCACCAAACUCAUAGCUUUAAUCAAAUAUGUAAGUCUGGGAAUUUUA